CCUCAUACCUUUGGCAUGGGUACGUUUUUCAAUAGCGUGACAUGAAUGCAAGUAUGAGGUACAUUAAAGCAGCUACAUGCCUUCGGUGUCCAUGUAUAAAUUAUCUGGAUCCCAUCCUCAGAUGCUGAGACAAAU
rnacentral:snoRNA from 1 species